UUGAACGCUGGCGGCAUGCCUUACACAUGCAAGUCGAACGGCAGCACGGGUGCUUGCACCUGGUGGCGAGUGGCGAACGGGUGAGUAAUACAUCGGAACAUGUCCUGUAGUGGGGGAUAGCCCGGCGAAAGCCGGAUUAAUACCGCAUACGAUCUACGGAUGAAAGCGGGGGACCUUCGGGCCUCGCGCUAUAGGGUUGGCCGAUGGCUGAUUAGCUAGUUGGUGGGGUAAAGGCCUACCAAGGCGACGAUCAGUAGCUGGUCUGAGAGGACGACCAGCCACAGUGGGAGUGAGACGCGGCCGAGACUCCUAGGGGGGGCAAGAGUGGGGAAUUUUGCAGAAUGGGCGAAAGCCUGAUCCCGCAAGGCCGCGUGGAGGAAGAGGCCCUUCGGGUUAGAAAACAUUUUUGUCGGGAAAGAAAUCCUGGGCCCAAAUCGGGGCGGGGGAGGAGGGUCCGGGAAAAAAAAGCCCGGGCUAACUAGGUG
rnacentral:rRNA from 1 species